rnacentral:rRNA from 1 species
AUUGAACGCUGGCGGCAGGCCUAACACAUGCAAGUCGAGCGAGCGGCGGACGGGUGAGUAAUGUAUGGGGACUGCCCGAUAGAGGGGGAUUACCACCGGAAACGGUAGCUAAUACCGCAUACUAUCGGAUUACCCAAUUGGGAUUAGCUAGUAGGUAAGGUAAUGGCUCACCUAGGCAACGAUCCCUAGCUGGUCUGAGAGGAUGAUCAGCCACACUGGGACGGAGACACGGCCCAGACUCCUACGGAGGCAGCAGUAGGGAAUAUUGCGCAAUGGGCGCAAGCCUGAUGCAGCCAUGCCGCGUGUAUGAAGAAGGCCCUAGGUUUGUAAAAUACUUUCAGUCGGGAAGCGUUACCGACAGAAGAAGCACCGGCUAACUCCGUGCCAGCAGCCGCGGUAAUAC